rnacentral:misc_RNA from 1 species
AACGCACAUUGCGCUCCCUGGUAUUCCGGGGAGCAUGCCUGUUCGAGCGUCAUUACAACCCUCACGCUCAGCGUGGUAUUGGGCUCGCCCUGCAGGGCUUGCCUCAAAAUCAGUGGCGGCACCGUCUGACUCUAAGCGUAGUAAUACUUUUCGCUUCUGGGCUUGGGCGGUUGCCUGUCAGCUAACCCCCACCUCUUAAGGUUGACCUCGGAUCAGGUAGGGAUACCCGCUGAACUUAA